rnacentral:lncRNA from 1 species
CACAAGUACUUCAACAAAAAUGAAGAAUCAAAGAAACAUAGCGUUAACUAGUUUCUUACUUUUUACAAAUAAUAUACCCAUUCAGUUUCCACAGGCAGCGGUUUUGACAAAAACUUCAACAAAGUUCAACUAACUCAGACUAGCCUUCCAUUUUUGGGUUAAUUUAGACCAGCUAAAGGAACAGGUGAGGUGAGAUCACAACCCUAAACCAAGCCUGUGGUAUUAUACCAUACCCAGAGCAUGUCAGAAUGAUAAUACUCUGUUUUUUUACUAACUACUAUCAAGGUUGGACUAAUUUGGAAAGAUUGGCAUUUACUUUAUACUCCCUUGCUCCUCCAACUGUUUCUUUUUUUUUUUUUUUUUUCCUUUAAGUACCCUUGUCCAACACUGACAUCAAACACAUAUCCAAUCAUGGCCAUGGGGAAUACAAUUCUCCAAGAACUGUCCAAAUACAUGUAAAAACAAAUUAAAAAAUGAACACAACUGUGUUCAAUGCAUGCUCAUAUCCAAUACUCACACCCAAGUCCAAGUAACAUGGAAACCCACUAUUUAGUCAUGGUUUUGGUUCCCAGUCGAAUUUUAUUAGUAGCAAUGAUUGGGGCUAUAACUGACCAUACAAGAAGACAUAAGGUGAAAAGACCAGUCAGCUGGUGUACUUCACUAGCCGUGAGUUUUUAGAACAUGAAAAGUAAGGAAUUCUAAAGUUUAGUCAUUGUAAGAAUGGUUUAGUUUAAUAGUUGCAUCAAAGUUUAAUAAUAACAUGCUAAGCUAAAACGAAAGGGUUAAAAAAAAAAAAGGAAGAGUAAAAAACAAGCAUCUUACCUGUGAAGCAACACCUGGAUGGUUUUUGAUGACAUCACGGCGGACACCCAGUGAUCGGAAGUAGUAAGACCUUGAUGCUUGAAGAUCUCCAUCAUAAUACUUUAGGUCUCCGAUUUUGUUAAGUGAAACGGAUAAUGUAUGUGUGAUCUGCAGAAAGUAUGUUUGAAAAUGAUGAUCAUGACGGCCUAAUUAAUAAGAAAGCAUCGCAAGGAAAGUUUGUGUUGUAACCUCAAGAUCAUCAGCUGGCAAUUUUGUAAGGAACUCAACACUCUCCUCGAAAUAAUUGAUUGCAGCAGCAGCAUCUCCCAUUGCUCGACUGCAAAAAACUUGAACGUUCAGUUUUACUCAAACAAUUGCCUUGCAAAUAUAAAGAUGUCUUCUCCAGUUGUCCAUAUUAGACAGUUUGGCUUUAGACAGUUUUGCUCUUUCAGGAUUCUUCUCUAAGUUUUCUGAUAUCAUGCUUACAGUCUAUGAAGCACGGACUCUUCUGUAAAGGGAGCAUCUACAUGUCAGAUAUGGAUACAGCUUUGACAUGGCAAAAUACAUGUGAGGACAUGUAAAAAUCAAUAAAAACAAAAUCGGAUACGAGCAAAACAUGGUCAAGAUUAGACACACCCAUUUUUUUGCAUUCAUCUCCUAAAUAUAUAAGACAAUGACCAAUUGGGUUAAAUUAGGUUUUUAAAGAGUUCAAGUUUUAAAAUUCAAAAACAAAAUCUAAAAAAGCUAUUUGCAUAUUAAUAUUUAAUUAAAAAGUAUCAAUUUUACUUGUUUACCAUAUACCAUUACAUUAAAAAAACUUUUUAUUGUUGCGUCAUGCCAUAUCCUAUGUGUCACGUCUGACAUAGGAGAAAUAUUAUGUUAUUUUAUAAUUUUAGUCUUACUUCUUAAUCAGUAGACAUAUAAAUAGACACCUAGGAUUAUAAGAUAUCUUUCGGGUUUAAAUCUAGAGCUAGGAUUAUUAGUUACCAUUAGGGUGUAAAUCUAAGGCUUGAUUAAAACUUUAUUUGUAACCCUAGCAUAAAUAAGUUGUAGUUAUUUACAGCCACAUCAUUCUUGUUAUUUUCUUUGAAUUAAUAGAAAAAGUAAAGUUUUUUAUAACUCUGUUUUUUCUAGAGUUCCAACUUUUUCUGCUCAUUUUUCAGUCCAAAUUCUAGUGAUUUACUGUUAUUUUCCCCGUAAGUGUCUAAACCACACCGGUGUUGCACCCAAAUUAUGAGUCAUUCUGAGUACUCCCUAGCCUAAAAUUAGGCCAAUCUUCACCUCAGAUUUUUGUUUAUCUUCAAAAACAAGAUUAUCAUAAGGAUAACAAAUGAAUAUAAUUCCCAAACAUAUCUGAAUUCAACUAAAAAUCAGUGCUCUUCAAAAAGCCAAUCUUUUUGCAUGAAAUAGUCUCACAUUUUUCACAACAGAACUCUUGAAACAUCCUCAACAACCAUUCUAUCUCCGCAACAUUAAUGUCAAUAAAGAUUCUCCUUCAUGAUCUUAAAAGACCCUCAGUCACACUUUAAGGCCAAAAAAAGGAUUUCCCAUCAAUUAUUUCCAAGAUUUAAAGUCAUUUGGCAAGCUUCAACAUUCGUUAGUUGAAUUAAGGAUUAGUCUUGGCCUCAACCAGUCAUGCAACUUUUAAGGAAGAGGGGAGGGAAGUUAGAUGAUGAUUCAGAAAUUUGAAGUGAAAUUUCUUUGAUUUCAAUAAGAAAGUUCAAUAUUCUACCAUACAAGUGCUAUAGCAAAAGAAACUCAUUAGACUCUUUCAAAAAGAUAUUUGCUCAACAAAGCAUUCCCUAGAGUAUGUUGCUUUGACGCUCUGAAAUCCCUAUGUCUAAUGCAUAUCUAGACAUGGAUAUCAGUAUCUAAUCCUCCAAGGAUUCUACCAAAUACAUGAAAAUCUUAUAAAAACUGAACAUACCCAUGUUGGAUACAUAUCCAUAUCCAAGACAUACCAUACCCAAGUAACGUUGUACCAAAUCCAUAUCCAUAUCCAUAUCUAUAUCAAGAUCAAAGAGCUCAAGGAAAGACACGUUAUCAUAUUUGGAUUUACAGCAAGCAUUAAGAUUUAGAAUGAAAGUCGAAUUACGAAUCACAGUGACACAACUAAACAUAUGCAAUAAAGAGGAAAGAGAGGAGCGUGUCUAGGAACAUACCAGCAGUCACCAAGCAUACCCAGAACUGCACCAAGCUGUGAGCACAACUCAGAUGUGUUUCCUAUUUUCUCUAAUUGAUCUCGGAUGUCUUCCGCACACAUAAUGAGUCUAGAUUUAGCACUUUCGAUAUUCUGUGCACGGAAUGCCUGAAUAAAGCAAGCAUAAACCAAUUCCAAAUAAUCGAAACAGGCUGCUAGGAGUACAGAAAUAAAGCUACAAGCACGACACUUACCCUCAUGGCCUGUUGCACCAAGAAAGCACCUCGGUCCAACGAGACAUCCUCGUAAAUUACCUUCUUAUCGUCAGUUGAAACUUGCUCUCCUUCACCAUUGACGCCAACAUGUGCUCUUUUGAUCCUAGCAUGCCCUUCAAUAAAUCGAUCAACCAUGCUUUGAAGAUUGAUGUCAGCUUCCAGUUUCUCUAUGUCAGCUCCACAUAGUGGACAAUCCUUAAACCGAGAUAUACACACUCUAAAAGGAAUGCAAAGUUAUCAUUAGAUCUAAAGGAAUAAAAGGGUUCUUCUAAGCAAUUGCAUCCAACAAAUAUUCAACAUGGUACCGCAGGAUCAAUGACCAUCCAAAUUUAUGAAAAUAAUAUAAUUGCAUAACGAUAGGCACACCCUUAAACCGAUAUAUACAAUCUAAAAGGACUACAAAGUUAUCAUUAGAUCCAUGUUGCUUGGGUUCUUUCAUUUUCCAUGAAGUACCUGUGCCCGAGUAUACUCAACAUUAAGUAACAUAAACAUUACAAGCAGGGGGAAAAAAAGCAGAAAAAGGGGUCAAUUAUGGAAAAAUGAAGACAAAACAUUCACUAUCGUAGAAAAGGAAGUCGAAUAAGGAAAACCCCACAAAUAUUAUCACAAAACUUGCAGCAAAAAACAGUCAAAUAAGAAAAAAAUGCAUCAACGAAUUAACAUAAAAAGGUAAAAAGAAAUCAAAUCAAGGAUUAUAAUAAAUAAUUAUUUAAAAAAAAGCAUAAAAACAGUCGAAUAAGAAAAAGAGAUCAAAGAAUUAUCAUAGAAAACAGCAAAAGAAGUGAAAUAAGAAAACCCAAUCGGAAGAGGAAAAUAAGGGAUUAUUGAUUAUUACUUGCAAAAGAGAUGAGAACACGGGAUACAUUUGGUGCAGUCAAAGAGAAGUGCUUGACAGAUCAUACAACUGAGAGGACCGAGCUUAAAAUUAUUGGAAUCGUAACCAAAAGGGCAUUUCGGAGACACGGUGGCGGUAUCACCGGAAUCUUUCCUUGUUGCUUCGCUGCCGCCGACGGUGGAUUUUUUGGCCGAACCAUUAUCGUCCGGUCGAGCCGCUUUCACGAAUGGGCAAACCGGAGUGGUCAUCUUUAUCUAUCUACCUAUAAAAACAAAAGAACGAAAAAAAAUCCCAUAUAUAGUUAGGAUUGCAGAUUCGAAACGACGUCGUUAUUGUUUCUAGGCCCCCAAUCCCUUCUGCAACGCGUAUUCACCUCAACGACUCGUGUCUUUGUCUGUAAUUUUCCUUUUAUUUUAGCAUUAAAAUCCUUAUAAUUUCUCUUUAUUUUCAAUAAAACCCAUAGAGUGUAGAUUUUUCUCUCUUACAGCCUCCAUGUUUUUUUUUGUUUUUAUUUUAUUUUUUAAUUAAAGAGCAUUUAGGGUUGGUAAAUUUGGAUUAGUACUCUAACUCAGGGGCGAAGUCAACAAAAAUUUUAGAAGGCCAAAAUUAAAUUGUAAUUUUUAUAAUAGUAAAAUUGUAAUUUCAUUAUUUUCAUAGCUUAUAUUUUUUAUAAUUUUUAAAAGAAUAAAUCAAAUUUUUAUCAUUAUUAAGAGGUAAAAUAUAGUUUUACCUUUACUAAUUUAAAAUUUUAAAAAUUUUAAAAGACCUAAAUAAAAAAACUUUUUAAGGAGAUCGGGCCUUGCCACCCCUUCACGCCCCUGCUCUAACAUAUGUUCAUAUUUAAAUAAAAUUUAUUUUUAUUUAAUUUUACUUGUUUGCAUAAAAUUAAAGGUACAAUGAUUUACUCGAUUUUAUAAUUCAUGGACUAAACUAUAAUUUUAACUAUUGUACAAAGAUUGUCUAAAGAAUUUACCCUUUUCAAAAAUGGAUGAGAACCAUUUAUUUUCAAAGUCAAAUUAGUUGAACAUUAUGAUUAUGCUUCCUUCAUUUUGUUUAUAUUUACAAUGAAUUAAGAUAGGGUUUAAAUUUUAAAUUUACCAUUCAUUUUAGUUCAAAAAUUACUCUCUUUUUUUUUUUUUGAGAAUGCAUUCCUCAGCGACUACUAUUUUUAUAAUUUAAGGGCUUUUUAAUUAUUUUAUUAAAUUAAAAGUUAGAUUCUUAAAAGAUAAGCAAUAAAUUUGAUCUAUUUCCUUAAAUAAAAUGAUAAUCUUUGAAGUUUAAGCUAUGGGUAUUUUAAUGGGUUGACUUUUUUUUAGAUUCAGAAUUAUGAAAGAGUUAAUCCAGUCUGAUAAUGUAAAGGUUAUGAAGGUUAUCUAAGAGUUCUUGUCAAGAGCAUUAAAUUUUAUUUUGAUCAACCAAAUUCAUCAACUUUUAUCAAAAGACAGACAGCAGAUCUUACAACAAGUCCUAGAGAGGAUAAAAAAUUAUGUACAGCUGUACAAAUUUCCUCCAAGGGAGAUUUCCUUUUAGUUUAGACCUAGUAAAACCAUGUUAUUCAGAUUUCUUUUUAGACGUGUAUAUAAAGCUUAUGGCGAAUUGACCAAGUAGGUACUUUUAUUAUAAAAAUUGAAUCAAAUUAGUCCCUCUAUUAUUAAAUCAAUUUAAUUUUUGUAAGCCUAUACUAUUGAAAAGAAUAAAAUUAAGUCUAAUUUUCAACAAAUUUAAUAUUUAAUAUUUAAUAUUUAACAAUGUUAUAUUUUAAAAGCUUUUUGACUAAAUAUUUUAUUUGGAGUUAAACUAUAAAUGAAAAAAAAAACUUUCAUGCCAGUUUUUAAAUAAUAAAUGUUAACUUCGCUACAAUUUGAACUUAUUUAAUUCUUUUUAAUGAUUAAAGGAUUAUAUUGAUUCAGUCCUUAAAAUAGAGGGACUUCACCUAAAACUUAUAUAGCAAUUUUAUUUUUUUAACAAAUAAAGAAUUUAUUCCAAUGAAAAAUGGUUUACGAAGUCCGGUUGGAUAUUGUUGGCCCACUAAAAUCAAGAAAACCAGGAGCAUAUAACAAACCAGGUAGACUAAAUCAUGCACACCAAGUAACAAAGCAUUAGAAAUAACAAGAGGCCUACACAUCAAACCCACAAGACAGCAUAGCAAAUCCGGUAUCUCGGAUCCACGGAGGCAAAGGCGGAAGCCAAUCAGCAACAAACACGAGCAUCCAACGCCCACAACAUGAGAUGGUUGAUUUUAGCACCACUGGCAUAGAAGAUGGUGUUGGACUGUAGCAAUAUCUUUUAUAUUGUUACUCAAACUUGACUUUGAGUGUUAGAUGCAAGUAUAUGCCCGACACAGGUAAUCUCCAUUUGAAGUUUUUCCAUAUAUUUGGAUGGUCUUUGAGGAGGUAUAUCCCCAAACUCAUGUCUGAAAAUGCAUUGGACAUAGGUAUUUCAAGAAAGAUAAGGUACUAGACCAACAAAAUCUUUUUUAUCAUAAGCAACAUAUACAAGCAUUACAUGUUUGUAAAAUGAUCAAACGAGUACUAAUUAUGAUUCCACCAUGAUUAUCAAAAAAAAAAAAAUUGAAUGAAUUAAAGAGAUGCAAAGAAAAAGAACUCACAAGUUUCAACACACAGGGCCCUCUUAGAAAUGUCUUUUUGAACUGGAGACAUAAAAUCAAAGGACCUUUACACUUGGUAGGUAAUUGCUGUCAUAGAUCUGCAACAAGUUUUAAAGAAUAUCUGCAUUUUGAAGAUGAAGACCCUUGAGUUACCUGCAUUACAUUAUAAGCAUUGAUGAGUACAAAAUUUAAAUCUUCUACAAAAAAAAAAAAAAAAAUCAUAGUAAAAAGAUUAUAUUUUUAAGAAGUAGCGGGUCCCCCAACCUUCCUUGCCCUCCACUCAUAUGUUUCUAACCCUCAGAUGCAUGAGUCAGGUACGACAAUGGUGUACUUAUUCUUAUACCCAUGUCUGGAUAUGCACUGGACAUGUGUUCUUUGACAAAAAUGAAAGCCAAAGCAACAUAUGUAUAUCAAACAAAUAGGAAAUUCUCAAAAGUAACCGGGGAGUUUCGGUGUGAUAGCACUUGAGAGAUGUGACCUCAUUUGGUUUAUGGCCAUUACUUAUUUCCUCCAUACAAAAAAGAAAAAAAAAAAAAAAGAACGAAAAAACAGCACCUAGUUCCAUCUCAAGGUAAGAACUAAGAACACCACUUCAAAGUUUGCAGAAAUCCAAUCCUACUUAUGUUCAUUCAAAGACACAUGCAUUCCUCACUGCUGGUUAGAAAUGAGGAUGUUCAGGUAGUUCAAUAAAAAAAGGUCGAUAAAACACUACUACAUGAAGUCAAAUGGAUCUGAUCAAGACAUCUAAGAGAUUAGCAAAAACCCAUAUCAGCUUUCAAAAAUAUUUAACCAAUAAUUCUUGUAAAUACCAAUGACCGGAGGAGAGAGAGACUUAGAGAGGUGUCUUCUUAUCGUCUAAGCAUCAACAUAUUAUUUCAUCCAGAUAUACAUGAUCAGACUCAUUACAAGCUAAAACUCCAUCAAAAGAAUCCAUGAUGCAUGAAAAUUCAAAAAAGUUGUUUGGUCAGGAAAUUGCAUGAACGCAUGCAUGUGCAACUAUCACUCAAAUUUGGGUGCAAGUGUUGGAUACGAAUACAUGUCCAACAUGGGUAAAUUCAAUUUUUCUAAGUUUCUCCAUGUACUUAAAGGGUCCUUGGAGGUUUAUAUCCCCAUUUUAAACAUGAGUUGGACAUGGAAACUUCAAGCAACAUGAAGAGCCAAAGCAACAUAGAUAUGCCAUAAUAUGACUUUAGCAGAAUUAACAGAAAGAUAAAGAACAAACAUACCUUAAAGUCAGCCUCCUAGAAAUCAAACACAACUACUCAUGAGUGCCAAAGCAGAUCUUUACUAUUAAGCAAAGAUGACACCUUAUGGACAAGCUCUCAGUUAAGAUUAAGUCAUACCAACAAUACCACCUGGAAGGUCACAGAGAUUGAGCCAGCAACUCAGAACAGUAUUCCAAAAUUAUGAUAAAGUAUAACAAAUAAAACAUCAAAGGCAAAUCCUACUUAACUUUGCUAAAUCAAGCAUACAAAUAAAAGAAGCAUGAAAUGAAGACAAUCUUACUGCUCAUACAGCUAGAGGAAUCCUCGGAGGCAAUGUUGCACAUCAGCUGAAAAGUUAUGGCAUAUCUAUACAAUCACUGACAUCAACAUGGAUAUCAUAUUGCAGCAGAAGUUGUUGCAGUUUCAAAGCUGCAGUCUCUUCGGGGUUCUUGACCCACUUUUUCCCAAACCCAAGGAUGAAUGCUCGAUGAGUACCUUUAUUAGGCAGGAUACCAUCUCUAAUCAUCAUUUCCACCAAGUUGCAUGCCUUGUCCAGGUCUCCAAUGCCACAAAAUCCGUGAAUGAGAGUAUUGUAUAAUACCAGGUCCGGGCUCAACCCACUAUCAAGCAUCCUAACAAACAGAGCAUUAGCUUCUGUCAUCCGUCUUUCCCUGCAGUAGCCAUUAAGUAAAGCACUGCAAGUCAAGACAUCAGGUUUCACAGCGCAUUCACUCAUGUAAACCCAUACAAGAAAUGCUUCCUGAAAGUCCCCUUUCUUGGAGAGCCCAUCUAUGAUAUUUGUAAAUGUCACCAUAUCAGGAGAAACACCCCUUCGGACAAGCUCAUUCAGAAUAUCUUUCGCCUCAUUCGUAAAUCCUCUUUUAAUCAGGCUAUCAAUAAUAAUGUUAUAGGUUGUAACAUCAGGAGAAAUGCCAGCUGAUCUCAUCAUAUCUACAAGCAUAAAGGCCUUGUGUAAGUGGCCCAUCUUUCCAUAUCCAUCUAUUAAUGUGUUAAAUGUAACAACAUCCGGUACCAAACCCUCCAUUAUCAUCUUAUGAAAUAAAUAAUCUGCCAUUUCCAAGUCUUUGGAUUUGCAGCAAGCAUCAAUGAGCAAUGUGUAUGUAGUCACAGAUGGGCUAAUUCCGCAUUUUAACAUUUUCCCAAAAUAUUGAAAAGCUCUACCCAUAUCCCGAUCUCUACAAUAGCCUCCAAUUAUAGUGGUAUAACUAACACAAUCAGGAAGCAAGCCCAAUUCAAGCAUCUCUUGAAAUAUCAGAGAAGCUUUUACCAUGUUUCCUUCUGCACAAAACUUUGCGAUGAAACUAUUGUACACAAAAAUAUUGGCUUUAAGAUUAAAGAAUUUUAUAACAUUCAUUGCUUCCAUUGGUCUUCCGACUUUACAGUAACCUUCAACAACAGAACUAACCAAAACUGAAUCCGGAAAAACUCCAAAUCUAGUUAUUUUAAACAGCAUCGAAGUUGCUUCUCCUAAACAAGACAUCUUACAAAGAGUGUCGAUUAUGAUAGUAUAUGCAACAACGUCCGGUUUAAUGCCGUAGUUUUUCAUGUCCAUCAGCAAUUUCCAGGCACUUAAAAGGUGGCCUUUAUUGCAGUACAUGUUGAUAAACAAAGUAAUAAUCGACACAUUCAAAUGAAUCCCUUGCCUCAUCAUUCGAUCAAGAAAAUCCCAAGCCAAGUCCAAUUGAUUUAACCUUAACAUCGCCUUAAGCAAUGAAUUACAAACGCCAACUGACGGAAACAUGUCAAAAUGCUUCAUUUGGCACGUUAAUUCAAAUGCCAAAUCAGCCUUCUUUUCUCUUAUAUAACAAUCAACAAGCAUGCUAUACAAAGUUCGUAAAACUGUUUUAUCACUAUGAGUCUCGUAAAAGAGUUUCAACAAUUCAUCCACAGGAACAUCUUUGCUAACACUAACUCUCACUAAAUAUAGAAUAAAAUCCACCGCUAUAUGAUUCAUGUUCCCGGAAACUAAUAUAUGUAUCAUCUUACACACCGAUUUAUUCGAAUGCAAUGAUCCAAUGCAAUACUCAGACAACUUGAAGAAAUGCAAAGCAAGCUCAGAAUUCGAACUUUCAUCGAAUAAAUCAGUCAAAAUCCGAAUCAAAUUUGACUCAUUCAAAUCAACAGCAUGUAGAUUCUCGGGGUUAAUAUUGAAACCUCGUUUCGAGAGUAUCGAUUUGAUCAUACUCAUAGGGUUGUUGCAUUCUUCAGUGUGUUGUUGAGUGAUGAAAUGUUGGGAUUCUAAAAGACAUGAAGCACAUGAUGAGAAUUUCUUACUAGGAAUCUGCCUGAAUGGUUUUAUUGUGGUGAAAAAGAGCUUGCUGAGGAUUGAAGAAGAAACUUUCAUGGAAAGCUUGAAAUUUUGUGGUUCAUCAGCGAGAAAUGAGCUGAAAAAAAUGUAAAAAAUAUAUAUAUAUAACUAAUGGAGUCCUUAUGAGUUCAACAGACAAGGAAACAAUCUAUUUUCAUAGAAAUUAUAAAAAAAAAUGAAGAAAAAUGAAAAGGGGAGAGGAAGGGUUUAAAAAACCUGGUGCCGAGGAACAGAGGCGCCCAUAAAAUAAGAUUAACAGUCGAUAGCUUAGGUUUGCUUUAAAAUAUAAUAAAUAAUAAUAAGCAUUAUGUUCAUGGCCAGACUGGGCUGGGUUGAGUCGAGUCAGGUGAAACCGGAUCAAUUCAAAAUACUUUUAAUUUUAGUUAAAAUUUGUUAUUAGUCUCUCUAAUUUUAUGGAAUUUGCGAUUUAGUUCAUGAUUUUAAAAGUUUAAAAUUCAAUCUUCCUAUUUCUCAAUUUAAAAAUCCUAUUUCAAUCAUCGUUAUUGUUGAUAGUUUCUGUCAAAAUUUGUUAACUUAAUAUUUUUAUUUUCUAUCAAUCAUAUAUCACGUAAUAUUAAGAUAGCCUACUUGACAUGCCAAAUUGAUAAAUUUUGAAAAGAAAUACGGAAAACAAUAAUGACUGAAUUGAUAUUUUUAAAUUAGAAAAACAAAAAGGCUUAAUUUUUAACUUUUUUUAGUACAUGGAUUAAAUCUCAAAUUUUGUUAAAGUAUAGGGACUAAUGACACAUUUUAACCUUGGAUUUUUAAGGAUUUUUUUUUUUGUUUGAACUUUUAUUUUCAAAAAAAUUAAUAUUUAUAUCCUUUUGAUUUAAUAAUUGAAGUUCAAUUAAUAACCAUAUCAAAGAAUUUUUGUUAAAUUGAAUUAUGUGUCAUUUUUCUAUUAAAAAGUUUUCUCACAUAGACAAUAUUACCUAUUGAAUACGAAGUUUUAAAGUUUUCGAUUUUAUAUAUGGGGUUGUAAAAUUCUACGUCUAUUUUUGAGAAGUAAAAUAAAAUUCAAUAUAUCUAUAUAUAACAACAAAUUUAAUAAAAAAAUUAACAAUGUUAAUAGUUAGAUCUGAUUUAGAGAGACUAAAUUCUUGAAAAUAAAAAUAUAAAGAUUAAAUUGCAAAAUUUCAAAAAGUAAAGAGACUUGUGGAACAUUUUAACCUAUGAAAAAAAGUCUUAUCUUAAUUUAUUAUUUGAGUAAACAACAGCCAAAGUCCAUCUAAAAUAAGGUUGUCCUAUUUGGGUCACUCUAAACUUUUUUUCUCAAUUUAAUCACUCUAAUUAAAAUAAUUGUUCAAAUUGAUCAUUAUCGUUAAAAAUUCCAUUAAUCCACUAAUGGAUUGCUAACAUAGCACGAUAAUCCAUUGAGUGAUUAGUACGUGCUUUUGACUAAAGCUAGGGACCUCUUUAUAAUUAAUCCAAAACCUUUGUUUAUUCUUUUAUCUUUGUCAUUCUUUUUUUACAUAAAAAAUGGAGAAACCAAAGCCUUUACCAUUCUGUUUUGAGAAUUCACUGCAUCCACUGCUUCAGAAUCACCGUUUGUAAUCUUGAUAAUCCUAGAUAUCAACCAGGCAAAUCAUGUAAAUUAGUGUAACACUACAAAGAAUUUGUCAUAUAUCAACUUUUACUUUUAUUGGUACCAUGUAUUAUAAAAAGGUUAAAACAUACCACAGAUCCUUCUACUUUUUAUAAAUUUAGAAUUUAAUCCUUAUAUAUAUAUUUUUUAAAAUUUUACUCCUUUCUAAUGUUUGGUGAAAAAGCCAUACUUCUAAAAAAGUUUAUUAAAUGGAUUUUAAGUAAAAGCAUAACUACAUCCUUUAUUAUUUAAUUAUUAUUCUAUUUAUUUUUUAUUUUUAAAUUCAAUAAUUUUGAUAUAGAUGUCUUUUGCCCUUAUAUAUAUAUAUAUAUUUUGUAUCAACCUAAUUAAUCCUUGGCAAAUAUUUUGUCAUUUCAUGAUCUAAUAUUCUAAUUCACAUGGAAUCCCAAACAACUAUUAUGUCAUGUUUGGUUCAAUGAAAUGGCUAUUUCAUUAUGGCACGGUUCAAAAUUUUACAGUAAAACAAAUGUUUGGUUUAUUGAAAAUUCAAAAUGUCGAAUGAUGAUUUUGAGGCGUAUUAGCUAUUCCAACCUCUCCACCAAAUGAUCCUUCUUCCCCCCUCUCCCCCGAUUCUCAAUGGUUUCAUCUUUUCUUUUCUUUGACCAUCAACAAUCUCAAGCUCAAAUCAACCUAAAAGGAAAUAAAUCAACUUGAACGCCAAAUCAACUAGAUUUUUUUGUAAGUUCAAUUCAAUUAGGGUUCAUUUUGCAUUUUUAUUGAUUUUUUUUGAUGAUUUGUCCUAGGGAAAUCGAAAUGGAUUCUGCAUCUAUUCACAAGUAGAUUGAUUCGUUUUUCGGGUCAGCUCCUACUCUUAAAGAUCCUGCUAAAAUCAGUGUUAAAUUGAAUCAGUUCAUCCAAUUUGAUUAUUUUCUAAUAUUAUAUUAUAUUAUUUUUAUUAAAUUAUAUUUAAUAAUAAUUAUAUUAAAAUAUAAUUAAAUUAUUUUUUAUUAUUUUUAUUAAAUUACGUUUAAUAAUAAUUUUAUUAAAAUUUAAUUACAAUAAUCAUCUACCUACAAAAAAAAUUUUGCUAAAAUAACUCUCAUUUUUUUUCUUAUACUAUUAGAAUAUUUAUUCCAUUUAACCAAACAAUUAAAUUACUUAUCACAAUUAUAUUUUGUUACAGCUUUAUUCUGUUACAAUAGACCGAACGCAGUCAGAUAGUGCCAUCCAAAGUUAAUUUGAAUAUUCGAAGUGCAAAAAUUAAACUCUCCAACAUGAAUACAAAUAACUUAUCAUAUUUCACUUAUUUGGAUUUUUCUCAUUGAAUUUGAAUAAUAAUUUCUUUAUUAUUAAUUUUACUCUUUGUUUUUUUUUUUUUUUUUGAAUUAUGGCUUCUGCAACCCAAGCUGAAAAGGAGGAAGUCGAUUCCAGAUCUAUUUAAGUUGGUAAUGUGAGGUUUACCAACCCUUUUUUUCACUUGAACGGUCUUUAUUUGUUUAACUGGCUAAGUCAUCUACAUUUACCUUAUUAGCUGUCUGAUUUGUACUGUGAUUGGAGCAGAAUUGUGGGGCAUUUUUCAUGGUCUCUCCAUUGCUUGGGAGAAGGGAUUCAAGAAGGUAGUGGUGGAAUGUGACAGUUCCCAAGCUGUCCAGCUGUUGAAUGAUGGCCAGGCUGCUUCUCAUAACUUGGCAUUGGUUAGAAAAUAUAGUCGAACUGUGAGGACGUGGUUGUGAUAUUUGCAUUGUCCAGCUCCCACGGACUGCCAAUCAAGUGGCUGGCAAAACAGGGGUUUAACAUGGGUUUCGAGCUGCAAAUUUUUGUUUCCCCUCCUGCUGGUGCUUGGAGUAUGCUUUGUCAGGAUGUUUUGAGAUCUUGUUUUAUAUGGUUUUUUGAUAUCCUUCUUUAUUCAAAUAGAAUUGUGAUCAUGCUUUUUAGUUUGGCCAAAGGAUGUAGGAGUAGUUCUACCAGUUUGAUCCCUUCAACCCAAUUUGGUUUUAUGCUUGUGUACGUGUGGCUUGAAAUGCUCUGUUUUGUCCAUGUGCAUGUGCAUGAACAAUUAAAUCUUAUUCAGGGGAAACAUUAAUUUAGUUUGGCAUAUGCUUUGUUUGGCUUGUUUAGGUACCUUGUAGACUAUUUAGGUGUACAAUUAAUAAAUAAUCUCAAUGUUUUGUACAUCUCUCUUACUCUCUAUUUCUUUAUAUGUCUUUGUAACAUCAGGUAGACAAUGCAUGUACACAUGAGGAAGUUCACCAGCAAUUCCAAUCUUGUGCUCAGGGUAACAAUUUUGACAGACAAGUUUGGUCAACCUAAAGGAUUUGCCUAUGUUGAAUCUGUUGAAGUUGAUGCCGUUCAAAGUGCUCUACUGUUAAAUGAAUCAGAAUUGCAUGGUCAUCAGAUGCAGGUUUGUAACUUGAUCUACAUGUGGAUUAUUACUUCAUUAAUAAAACCUACAUGAAUACACCCUUUAUUAUAGAAAACAGCAUACGGCAUAAAUUAUUAGCAUGAUGGGAAAAUCGACAAAUGGUUCACUCAUUUUUUUCCUGAUUUUUCUUGUUCAAUUUUGGAGGUCAGGUUCCUUCCCUGUUUACUUUGCAUUCGUACACUUAGCUUCAUAUAUUGCAACUUGAAGUGGUUUUAUGGGUUCAGUAUGUUUUACUCUGUUGAGUAUGUAUCGGACACGGGUGUUCCACAUGAUUAAUAAAAAGAUCAACUGCUGCUGCCAAUAAAUUGGAGCAAGCCGGUUGCCGUAUAACAUGUAUAACAUCAGGGCUUCAAACUGUAAAACUAGGUUAAACAUCAACUACUUGCUGUUGUAAUGACCAUGCUUGUGAUGUAUGCAAGGACCAAAGCAUGAAAUAGUUCUUGUUUUCGCAGGUACAUUUGAUUCCGUAGGUACAACUAAGUUGCAAGAUGUUGGCAAAGCUGGUUUGGUGAUGAGAAUUCAAGGCAAGAAUUCAGCUGUGCUCGGAACAGCACUCAUCUGUAAGUGAUUCAGUAGCCAUCAAAAACUUUCGUUGAAGUCCUUUUUCUCUUUUAAUCUGACCUCAUGAAAUGGCGCAGGCGCAUAUCUGUUUAUAACUUUGUUUUGCAAAAUGAGCCCGUGUUAUAUUUUACCCAACUAACAUCCGAGGCAGUCCAAAAUGAGUCCUUCUCCCUGCCGCGAUAGUAAGAAAUGUCUAUGCAUCAACUUUAGAUUUGACCACCAAGAUGAUUCCUUACAAAAUUGCUUUAGCCAUCAAGCUGCCAAAUGAUUUUAUCGGCUCUCUAGGAGACCAGCUCAUGAAUAGAGAUGGUGUAUCUAAGAUCAUUAAGCAUCUCUUCCCAAUCGAAAAUUUCUUCUAAAGACAAGCCUCCAAGAGCAAUGGUCAAAUCUCUCAUCUACUGGAUAAUCAUGGACUGCAAUGAACCAUAUCUUCUCCUUUAUCUCUCUUUCUUUCUUUGGUUUUAAGAUUUCACUAUGGUUAUAAAUAAAUUGUUUCUGAUAUUUGAAUCUUGCAGGCUGCACCAACUAGUCCCUCUAGGCCGGCUCUUGAAGCACCAGCAAGAACACGAUCAAGGGUUAGAUAGUUGUGUUGAAGUGUCAGAUAAUACUUUUCUACAGUUGGUCUGAGAGUUGAGAGCAUAAAGCAUAAAAUUUGGUUAUCUGAUUGGUUCUCUGAUUAAUGACUUCCAGCAUCCUACUUAAAUUGCCAGCCAUAUAACUUAUUUCAUUGCUCUAAAAAUGUCAAAGGUACAAUUUCUUUUAGUUCUUUUUUUCUUUAUUAGCAACCUAAGCCACGAUUUUAACAGCAGAAUCAAUGUGUUGUGUCAAAGGUUCUUAGCUUGAAUAUAUUUAUUAGUUUAGGAAGAAGUUCUUAGCUUCUUCUUUAUUGCUCUAAAAAGUUUGUUUUUAUUGCUCUAAAAAUGUAAUAUAUUUAUUAGUUUGAAUAGGUGAUAAACAGUGAACCUGUCUCGGGUGGCUCUGCUGCAUCUGUAUCAACCUGGGAAUGUGUUGUCUCACCUGGGAGUGAUACUUGUGGAAGCGUGAGGCAGACAUUAUUUUGCGGCCAAGUUGGCUUGAAGCCUGAUUGCGUAUAGAAACUGUUUGAUAAAAUGCUUAAGAAAAGCUAGUGUCUAUUACUGCCUGACAUUGUUCAGCUCAGAUACUAGACAUAUUAAGUUGGCAAUUUUUUAUAAGGAAAAUCUUUAGGCUUUCAUUCUUGCUAGUACUUUGAUGACUGCAAACCCAUUCUUAAUAUCUAAACUGUUUAUAACAACAUAUCUAGGAGUUUUGUAUGGAUUGAACUGAGGAAAAUAUUUUCCUAACUUUGAAGAAAUUGGACCGGAUUGGAUAAACACGAAAGCUCGUCCUGAAGAUCCAAUACUUAUAUUGAGGUCGUUGAAGAUAUUCUCUUUAAAUAGUAGUCAUGCUGGUUUUAUGGGGAUAUUGAGAUUGAUUGUAAUUGAUAAGAAAGUUUUGAUUCUUUAUAAAUUGAGGACACUUAUAUAGAUGAUGUAUUGAUCUGAGAGCACUUAAUCUUGUUCAUUAAGGAACGUAUCUUUGGGUGUAUUGAGUGAAAAAUCAAGAGUAUUACUUCGGUAUUGUCCUAAGUUUUUAGGAAGAAAACUUAGGAGAAAGUUGUGUAGAUCUUAGAUGGAAAAACAAAGAGUCUAAUAUGGUGAGUGUUAUAUAUAGGUGAUGAAAUGUAGUCUUUUGUAACAAAAUAAAAUUUUGAAUACCUUACAGGAUAUUUUGAAAUUAGGGUGUCGGAUUGAACACUUUACUACUUUAUCGUAGUAAGAGUACCAAAUAUUUGAAUUAACCUUAUUUAUAAAUUUGAAUAGUUGGAUAUCUUAAUUGAACCAUACAUUUUAUAUAUAAAUUUGAAAUUAAGGUGUUCAACUGAACAUUUCACUUUAACAAUGGAUCAAAUAUUUGAAUUACAUGAACUCGAUUGCGCUUUAUAUAUUAUUUUUAUUUCUUUAAAAAUAUUUGAAAAUUUGAUUUAGGUAUAUAUUUUUUUAUAUCGAAAACAAGCAUAAUUUUUAACAAAAAUUCUAUUAAUAUAUAAUGUAAAUAGAAUUAAAUUAAUUAACAUUGCUGAAAUAAUUUAAAUAAGAAAUAAUUAUAAAAAAACAGUUAAUUUUCAUAAUUCCGAUCCAACAAAUCACAAAACAAACCCAAACAAAUUAUAGAUGAAUCUCAUACUAAUAUUGAAACCAAAUCAUACAAACACAAAUAGAUCUUUAACGAAUAAAUUUUAAACAAAGUGACACUGAAACCAAAUCACAUAUAGAAUUUGAGCAUCCUUUCAUCGAAGAAGUAGGAAUGAAAUAUCAAAUCCUUUGUAAACUCCUUUGACCAAAUAAAUUUUUUGGUGCUUUUCAUUUGAGCAAAGCACAUCUACAAUCAUGAAGACAAUUAGAAUUGAUGUUAAUAAUGAAAACAAAAUCAUGAAAUAAUAACAAUAUUGAUGAUUUAAAAAAUUAAUAACUCUUUAAUCAUCUAGAGUACUUUCCAAAAAGCUAUAGAAGAAUUAAAACUCAAUAACUUUUAUUUGAGCAUUUUAUAAAAAAAUAUUUUUAUACGCCAAUUUUGAAAGAUUUAAUUUAUUUUAUUAUUAAAAAAACUCAACAAAUAUUUAUAUAAAUAAAUUUAAUUAAAAAUAUUAAGUUUAUUAUUAAAAUUUUAAUUCAAAGAGCGAGAUAAAUGUCAUACUACCAAAAACAAAUUUUGAAAAAGUCUAACCUAUUAUGCUACCAAAGUUUGCAAAACCGGACUAAUAGUCCAACCGAUCAAAUCACCAAUUCUUGAUUCAGUCAAUCCAACCAAUUUAUUUGGUUUGAUUAAAUAAAUGAUUAAAAAUUUAUAAAAGAAUAAUAUAUAUAAAAAUUUAGAACAUGCAUAAUAAAAAAGAACUUAAAAAAUAAUUAAAAAAAUUAUCAUUAUUUAUAAUUAUAAUUUAAUUAUUUAAAAUAUUUAAGUUUUAAAAUAGUCCAAAAAUUCAUUUCAAAAUUUCUAAGAAAAUAUUUAAGUACUCUUAUAAAACAUUCAAAACCAUAUUUAUUAAUAUCAUGAGCGUCACAACAGUGGUUAAUCAUCUUAUCACCAGUAUUUUCUAAAAUGAUAAACAAUUGAUUACGAAAUGUAGUCAACUCCCUACCACAUUCAUAUUUUUUAUUGAAUGAUAAAUUUAUCCUAAAACAUUACAACUCUAUACUGUAUAUAAUAAAGUUUGGUAUUUAUAUUCAUUUAAAUUAUCCAACUUGCACAAAUCGAGAGAGGAUUGUGGCCCCAGUUCACAUAUACUAAGAUGUUCACUCAAGGCUCAAGGUGUUCACAAAAGGGACUCAGAGUGAAAUACAAGCACACUCAAAAUGAAGUGGGUAUUUCCUGGUUUUGACGAGAAUAGGGGAAAAUUGUGGUUCAAAGGGAUUAUCUUUCUGUAAUUUUUGUGGUUUAGUUCAUAAACAGGUGAAGAACUGAAGUGGGUUUCUACUGGUUUUGAAGAGAAAAAAAAAGGAGAAAGAAUUUUGGGUUCAAAGUGCUGAUCCUUGAGUAAUUUUGGUUCACAUAGGAGCUUUGUUUAGUGCAUAAACAAGUCAAGAUGGAGGACACUUAUAUAGGUUUUUCAUGGUUUUGAAGAAAAAGGUUCAAGGGACUAAUAUUGCUGUAAUUUUGGUUCACAUUGGGGCUUUAGGGUUAGUGCAUAAAUUUUGUGGUUGGAAGACUUGAUUUUCGUUUGAAAUGGAAGAAGUGAUGGGUGGAAACACCGUUCAUCCAAAUUCAAUCAAUAAAUCUGAAGUUUUGGAUGUAAAACCAGUGCGUACCUUGGUUCCUAUAUUCCCGAAGCCGUUCGAGGGUCCUCCGUUUGUUUGUGUGCCUCCUAAUGGCCCUUUCCCGUCUGGGUUUUCCCCAUUUUUCCCAUUUAGUGGAUCAAACCCAAAUUCUAACCCUAACCAAAACGAUAUUGUUGACACCAUUUUUCGGAUGAAAACGGGGUCGACUAGGGUUUUGAAAAAUGAACGGGAGUCGCCACCAAUCCUUUUUUAUAAGGUGUGAUUGGAUCACCUCGAAAAGUGGUUGUUUUUAAUAAACGGUUUGAUUUUAUUAAAGCAACGAUUUUGGUCCACGAAACUUAGAAAAAAAAUAGGUUCGGGAGUCGGUUACGUACGAGGAAGGAUUAGCACCCUCGUAACGCCCAAAAUUGGUACCUAGUUGAUUAGUUAAUGUCUUAAUGUCGAAAAUUGAAAUUUGAAAAAUUUUAAAAAUACGAUCCUUGUAUUAAAAUGUUGAAAAUAUUUGAGUAAAGGGGCAUAUUUCAUGUUAAUUGAGGAAUAGAAUCGUAUCCAGUAAGUUAUGACACAAUGUCUCAAAUUCCCGAUAUGCGAAUGAAUGCCAAAAUUUUACUUAUUUAAAAGAUUAUUUUAUUAUCUCGGGUUUAGAAAAUGAAUCAUACCCAAUAAGUUAGGACAUGAUCUUUUCUUAAUUCCCGAGAUCGUUUUAAAAACUUGAGUUCGAAAAAAUCCGUGUAUUUAGAUUUAUUAUGAGAAUCGAUACCCAGUAAGUUAGGGUACGAUCCUUUCGAAUCUAACACGAAAUAUUAUUUUUUUUAAAACAAAUCUUGUUAUAUCGAGUAAUAUAAAACACGAAAAUCGUAGUAAAAUGUAAAAGCGAAUUACAUUGUUGUUAUGCGUGGUAAAAUCAUAAUACACACAAAAGUAUAAAAAUGAUACGAGUAAUAGCGACAAUAUAAAAUAAAAGUCAUGCUUACAAUCAUAUAAAAUAACAAUGUAUAUAAACAAAUAAAUUAAAACAUUCAUUCAAAAUGAUAAAGAAAAUGAAAUAAAUAAAUAGCAAAUACAAUUAAAUGUAAAGAGAUAUAUAUGAACAUAAAUUAAAAUAUGUGUGCAUAUGUAUAUGUAUUUACAAAGGUUAGAGUAAAUAUCUAUUAUAAGAAAGGUAUGCAUAAAUAUUACGAAACAUAAAAUAUAUGUAUGUAGAUAAAAAAAUAUGUGCAUUAUAAAAAUAAAAUAAGAUAAUAUAUAAUAUACAUAUUUUAAUACGUAAAAAAAGGGGGCAUACAUACAUAUAUAAAAGAAACCAUAUAAAACAUAUAAAUAUGUAUACAUAUAUUCGUAAAAAAAGGGUUAUAUAGAUACACAUAUAAAGAGGUAUUUAUAUAUAUUAAAUAAGUCUAAAAAGGAAAUAAUAAUAACAAUAUUAUACAUGUAUGUAUAUCAAAACUGUCAUAUAAUAAUAGUAUGAUAAGUAAAAAUAAUAUAAAUAAUAAUAUUAUAAAUAAUAGUAAUAAUAAAUGAUAAUACAUUAAAAUAAUAAAAAAAUGAUGAAAAUGCUAAAAAGGGGGCUAAAUCGAAGUAAAGUCUAAAAUAUGGGGCGGAAUCGAAAUAAAAAAACAAAAAGGGACCAAAUUAUGUAGCGCGCCGAAAGAGGGGGACCAAAAUGGAAAUAUCCCGAAUCCCCAAAACGCUGCGCUUAGAUGUGGAUUAAAAUGAACCAAAAACAAAAUUUUGUGGCCAAAUCGUAAAUAUGCAGAAAACUUCCAUGAAAGCGCUAUAAAAUCAGAAGGACUGAUUGCGCAAAUAUUCCAUUUGAAGAAAACACGCGGAUCCUCCCCUAGGUCGGGUCACCGCGCGGGUCAGGGGCCUCAAAACGGCGCCGUUUAAUGAAAUUUUAACCCCUCCCCAAAACCUAGUUUCAUUUGACCGCAAAAAUAAGAAAAAGAAAAGGAUCCCUUCCCCUCCCUCAUUUCGGUUACUUGAACCUAUGCCAUCAUCGCCGCCUCCAUGGCCAGUGGCCGGAGUUGCGUGAGAACGGCCUUUCGGCCUCCCUGAAGGCUAAGCCAUCUCGACCGCGAGACCAAAAAAGGAAAAAAGGAUGAACCACCUCUUUUCUGCCCGACGCCGGUGACGGCCAAGGUGGGAUCCGGCACCAGCUCGUCGAAGCGGUCAGGUAUUUUCCUCUUUCCUUUUUUAAUUUCCUUUUUGUUAAAAAGAGUACUGGAACAAGUAAAAAGAAAAUAGAAAGGAAAAUAAAAAAACGAAUGGAAAAAGAAUUGGAAUCAGCCAUUUUCUUAGAUUUUUAGAUCUACUUUUGUCCAAUUAUUCCCUUUUCUUUUCGUUUCUGCUUUUGCAUGUAAAUAAUGAACACAAAAAAAUAAAAAUAGAUUAAAAAGGAGUAUAAAUGGGUAAAUCUAAACCUUUUUUUGAUUUCUGUUUUCUUGUUCACCAAAUAUUCCAGAGGGAGAAAAAAACCUCCUUUUGAAUUACAUUAGGUUCGGCUUUUAUAGCCGAUUACGUUGUUUUUCUUUUUUACUGUAUUCUACUGUUCUUUUGUCCCUGUUUUCUUCUAUCAUUUUGUCAUGUUUGCAGGUUUUGGGCAAGGUCAACGGGUGUUGGAAGGAUAACCCAGACCAUUUUGGUGCAAAACCGGUCGUGCUUCAGGCGUCGAGUGCGCUGCGAAGGCACGAGGAGAUGUACGGCGCACUGAGGCUGCUAGUUGUGAUGCUGAAUUGGGCUAGG